GCUCGGGCCACCAUAAUGAAACCCCACAGGCUGGGAGGCUUAGACAACAGACAUUUAUUUUCUCACAGUUGUGGGGGCUGGAAGUCCUGCACCUAGGUUUU